CUUAUUUGCUUUUCUUCUUUUUAUUUUACUCUUACCUUAACUUCUUCACCCCCUUCUGCCAUCUUCUCUCUCACAGCUUCUUUGCCGAUCCUCCACAGACAAAUUCACACAAAAUCUCUGUUUUUCCCUAAAAGGGUUGCUUCUGUAUGCAAUUUUAUCAAUACCCAGAAGAAAUUCUUGUUCUACACAUCCAAGAUUUGCUCUGUAGGGUUAUCGCAGUGGCGUUCUUAGGAUUUUUUCGGUUUUCAUCAACCCCAUAUCAGCAAAAGUUAUAAUAGGGUUGGUGAUUUUUUUGUUGAAAGUUAUGGUGUCUUCGAUGUUUUGCUAUGCACCCAGUUGAAACAGACACGGAUUAUCCUCCGUUUUACUCAAGAAAGAGAUUAAAGUCUUUAGAUUUGAUGGGAAUGGAUGCAACUUCAAUGGAUACUGUUGGGGAUGAAAAACACGAUGAUGUAGUGUCUACAAUGGAGUUAACUGUUGGGUCAACGAAGAAUCAAGUUGGUUCUUUGAAGAUCAUGAAGGGAUGAAACAUGGGCCGCACUCUCUUAUGGAGCUUUAUUCAUGGUGUCAUUAUGGAUACAUUGUGGAUUCAGUGAUGAUGAGUUUGUGUAUCCGUAGCAUUUUUCUAGGUCCUAUAUUUAGCUCUGUAGUACAUGGUGCAGCUGUUUCUCCUACAAUCCCAGCCUUUCUGUUGGAAGAUGUUUGUUUUAUUAUGUUGGAUGUACAAUUGAAUUUUCUGAGCAUAGGCUACAUGUAAACUGAACAUAUGUAAAACAGUUUACCCGGUUUUGAUGGGUGGAAUCCCUCGAUUGAGCUGCUACACUGCUACUGAUCACUUAACUUUUUUAAAUUAGAUAUGGCUGGGUUUUAGUCGAA